UGGCGGCGUGCCUAAUACAUGCAAGUCGAACGGCUUUUCUAUGGAAGCUUGCUUCCACUGAGAAGAUAGUGGCGAACGGGUGAGUAACACGUGGGUAACCUGCCCAUAAGAGGGGGAUAACAUCCGGAAACGGGUGCUAAUACCGCAUAGUUUUCUUGAUCGCAUGAUCGGGAAAGGAAAGACGGCCUUUGUGCUGUCGCUUAUGGAUGGACCCGCGGCGUAUUAGUUAGUUGGUGAGGUAACGGCUCACCAAGACGAUGAUACGUAGCCGACCUGAGAGGGUGAUCGGCCACAUUGGGACUGAGACACGGCCCAAACUCCUACGGGAGGCAGCAGUAGGGAAUCUUCCGCAAUGGACGAAAGUCUGACGGAGCAACGCCGCGUGAGUGAAAGAAGGUUUUCGGAUCGUAAAACUCUGUUGUCAGAGAAGAACAAGUUGGAGAGUAACUGCUCCAGCCUUGACGGUAUCUGACCAGAAAGCCACGGCUAACUACGUGCCAGCCGCGGC
rnacentral:rRNA from 1 species